UACGUAGGGUGCAAGCGUUGUCCGGAGUUAUUGGGCGUAAAGAGCUCGUAGGCGGUCUGUCACGUCGGACGUGAAAAUCCAGGGCUCAACCCUGGACCUGCGUUCGAUACGGGCAGACUAGAGGUAUGCAGGGGAGAACGGAAUUCCUGGUGUAGCGGUGAAAUGCGCAGAUAUCAGGAGGAACACCGGUGGCGAAGGCGGGUCUCGUGGGCCGAUGACUGACGCUGGAGGAGCGAAAGCGUGGGGAGCGAACAGG
rnacentral:rRNA from 1 species